UACGGGAGGCAGCAGUGGGGAAUAUUGCACAAUGGGCGCAAGCCUGAUGCAGCCAUGCCGCGUGUAUGAAGAAGGCCCUUCGGGUUGUAAAGUACUUUCAGUCGUGAGGAAGGUGUUAAGGUUAAUAACCUUAGCAAUUGACGUUAGCGACAGAAGAAGCACCGGCUAACUCCGUGCCAGCAGCCGCGGUAAUACGGAGGGUGCGAGCGUUAAUCGGAAUUACUGGGCGUAAAGGGCACGCAGGCGGUUAAUUAAGUUGGAUGUGAAAUCCCCGGGCUUAACCUGGGAAUGGCAUUCAAGACUGGUUAGCUAGAGUCUUGUAGAGGGGGUAGAAUUCCAUGUGUAGCGGUGAAAUGCGUAGAGAUGUGGAGGAAUACCGGUGGCGAAGGCGGCCCCUGGCAAAGACUGACGCUCAUGUGCGAAAGCGUGGGGAGCAAACAGGGAUUAGAUACC
rnacentral:rRNA from 1 species